AACUAAUUCAAAAAAGUAGUAACACAGCCAUGUAGAAACACCAGAGUCAAUAAAGAGUUUUCGGAUUACGCCAUCAGUACAAUGUUAACACACCCCUUUCUUGUUUGCGUGUCUCGAGUAGCCUGGUAAUUGUAGAUUCUUGACUAUUAUGAUCAUUUACGGCAUACAUAAAAGAGACUUUAGCAUGGUCCAUUUAAGAUCGAGACUUCCCUGUUUGGAUCUUAACAGACAGAGGAGUGCCUCGUUUUCUACGAUCGACUAGUUUUUAUUGUCUCUUAUGAAGGGCCGUUGUCGGCUUGGUACGAUAUUUGUUGGUCCUAGCCAUCAUGAUCUAUUCCUAACGAUAUGUUAUUAGGACGGCGACGCUGGAUACAUAACGCAUUUUCCUAUGGUUCGUGGCUGUGCUGUGUCCUACACAUAUCGUGAUAAGAUCUGCAGAGGAUUGCCAAUAAUUGUCUCCUUGAGGGACGAUUUUCCCCGAUGAGGGCGACUACGGUAUAGAACUUGUGAGUAUGAAAUACUUAAAAUACAUUUCUCAAUUCAUUAUACCGUGCUUUGGGACUCAGUAGUGUAUCGUUUUAUUUUUCUGAUCAUUUCAAAAUUCUUCAUCUAGUAAAAAGCUCGCUACGCUAUAUCGCGACCGUAGUCACUAACAUCACAAUGGUCAUCAUCCUUAUCAGAUGACGUACAAGCUGUGAAAAGAAGACGUAAGAACGUUGUAAAAAAAUCGAUGGA